rnacentral:rRNA from 1 species
AUUGAACGCUGGCGGCAGGCUUAACACAUGCAAGUCGAGCGGGGAAAGGUAGCUUGCUACUGGACCUAGCGGCGGACGGGUGAGUAAUGCUUAGGAAUCUGCCUAUUAGUGGGGGACAACGUUCCGAAAGGAACGCUAAUACCGCAUACGUCCUACGGGAGAAAGCAGGGGAUCUUCGGACCUUGCGCUAAUAGAUGAGCCUAAGUCGGAUUAGCUAGUUGGUGGGGUAAAGGCCUACCAAGGCGACGAUCUGUAGCUGGUCUGAGAGGAUGAUCCGCCACACUGGGACUGAGACACGGCCCAGACUCCUACGGGAGGCAGCAGUGGGGAAUAUUGGACAAUGGGCGGAAGCCUGAUCCAGCCAUGCCGCGUGUGUGAAGAAGGCCUUUUGGUUGUAAAGCACUUUAAGCGAGGAGGAGGCUCCUUUAGUUAAUACCUAAAGAGAGUGGACGUUACUCGCAGAAUAAGCACCGGCUAACUCUGUGCCAGCAGCCGCGGUAACAC